CCCUUUGAUCAGUGUCGGGGACGAAGUUCGCGGGGGUUGGUAAAAAGCGUCUAUAGCAAGAUUAAAGGGGUGGUGUAGACAGGUGUUGGAAGGAAGGAAGGAAGGAGAAGGAAGGAAAGGAGGAAGGAGGGUCGGUCGCAUACCGUCGCACGAAUGGCGUCUGCGCGACUGACGUCACCAUAUUGAUUUCCCUUUGGUACCGCGAGCGUAGAGUCGGAGCAUCGAUUUGGCACCUCUCGCUACCAGCUAAAGGGAUUGACAGAGAGGAGAGUCCAGUGAGCGAAACAGAGGUGAGAGGUGAGCAAGGUGUCCAGCGAAGCGGCUGGUUGUCCUCAGGAACUGGGAAACAGUGUGGUUGUUCAGCGAUGCAGAAUUAUGGCCACGAGGACUACGACUAUGAGACUGGGACUGGACACGACGGCGUUGCCCGCUCCCUUCCGUCGGUUCCUGGCCAGCCUGGAGGACUCGGAGUCCCCGCGGCCCCGGGGAUCAGACCCAUAGUCGACCCUCAGGCCCAGGGUGAGGUGGACCCGACGGUAUACCCCCAGCCGAAGGAGGCUACUCACAAGAUUCGUGGGAAGAGCGACAUCCUCGAGUACCUGUUCGGCUCCGUAGACCAGGAACUCCUCACCGUGAAAACGUUCUACUUCUUCUUCUACUCUGCGUUCGGUUCCCUGUUCCCGCUGAUGGGUGUAUACUUCAAGCAGAUGGGAAUGAACGCCGGUCAGUGUGGUCUUCUCAUCGGAUCCAGACCCUUCGUUGAGUUUCUCAGCGCUCCGUUUUGGGGCUCACUUGCCGACAGAUGGCAGAAGGGGAAGAUGAUUCUUCUCGCAUCGCUUUCCUGCUGGAUAAUCUUCACCCUUCCUCUGGGCUUCAUUGAACCACCGGCUAUAUCGUGCAUGGUUUUAGAAAACGAUGUGCCGAUGCUUAAGAACCCCGAGCGAGACACGCGGAUCGGGAAGCGUUCGGUCAGUAUGGAGAGCUACUACCGUCCCGACGACGACAUGACGGAUUUAGAGACGGCGGAUAACGUGGUUUUCGAAAGGAUUCGCCGAGAUGUUGGGGGCGCCGAAUACGACCAUCGUAAGUCUUCGAAGCGGGUCCGAGCGUCGAGCGAUCAUGUCAACAUGAGGCGAACCCUGAGUUACGAUUUAGAUAACAAUGAAGUUGAUGACGCUCGAAGUCCCUACGACCUGGAGGGUAACAGGGUGACGCGCGAGACACACCUCGACCCCGAAGACGGCGUUGCCGAGGAUCUGGAGUACAAGCAAUUCAUGGAAAGUGAGGAGAUCCCGGAUCCAUCCGUCCAAUCCGUCGAUUUGAAGAGCUUGGAACGGAGAAACAGACCAGCUGACGUUCUGGAAUACAAAAGGUUUUUAAAGAACGAGCCUUUGGACGAAAGCAGACCGCCGAAGAAGGCUUACACGAAGUCGAAGACGCACGUUAAACCUCCAAGAGAAAAGGUAAUGGUGAAGAGAAACAUAGUCAGUAGGGGUUCGGACAUCCUGCGGCAUCACAGGUAUAAGAAGUUGGGUAAACGGGAAACGAAUUCGAGACAAAUUGUCGCUUCGAAAAAUGACAUUUACGGUAUGAGCGUUAAGGGUCUGAGGAAAUUGAUGUUCGUCGAAGAUGUAGAAACGGAAACGUCUGGGGUUAGGAGUCGUCGUUCGGUAAAGGGGUAUCACGUCCCACAAUCAAGUGGCCGAAGUCCGUUUCCGGUCACUUACGCCGCAAACUACAACAAAAAAGAGGACGAGGAUUUGGUCAAGCCGAUGUUCAGUUCAAUCGUAUACAAAAUUUCGGAUAUCCAAAAGACGUUCUUCCUUCUGCUCCUCCUCGUCAUCGUCGGUGAGUUUUUCUCGGCACCUGCGAUCACCUUGGCUGACUCUGCGGUCAUCACUCUUCUCGGCGAGGACGCAGACAGGUACGGACACCAGCGUAUGUUCGGAAGUCUGGGAUGGGGCUUGGCCAUGUUCUUCGUCGGAAUCGCCCUUGAUCACAGCACCGCGUUUCCGGAUCAUCCCUGCGAGCCAGACGCCAGAGAAAAGAAUUACACCAUUUGCUUCGCCACGUUUAGCGUCCUUAUGGGUGCAGCAUUGAUCACCGCGACGCAGAUAAACUUCAAGUAUGAUUUUCCCGUUGCGGAACCGGAAGUGUCAAAACCUGCGGCCGAACCAACCCGGGAAGAACAACUUCAGAGUCAAUUGUCCCAGCAGCUGAAUUUACCGGGCCUUCAAGAUUCGUCGGGAAACCCUGACCCCAAGCCCCAACCACCGGAAGGCAAGACGAAAAUGUUCGCGCAAACAACGCGGGAAAUUCCCGAAUGGGUCACAGUCCUGAACCAGUUCAAGGACCUGAAGUGCGCGUCCUUUCUCUUCGUCGCAUGGUUCAUGGGAUUUGGAAUAGGGCUGAUAUUCACUUUCCUCUUCUGGCACCUGCAGGACUACGGAGGAAGUCCGACGCUCUUCGGAGUAGCCUCGGUGAUCAAUCACAUAUCCGAGAUCUUCGCCUACUUCUUCAGCUUCAAGUUAAUCCGACAAAUCGGGCACGUCAAGGUCCUCUGUCUGGGACUAGUCGGCAACAUACUGCGCUUCUUGUACAUUUCGUGGCUGAAGAAUCCUUGGUGGGUUCUCCCCUUCGAAUUCAUGCAGGGAAUCACCCACGCCGCAGUUUGGGCAGCCUGCUGCAGCUACAUCGCUCACAACACGCCACCCCAGCUGAGAUCAAGCGCUCAAGGUGUUCUCCAGGGUCUUCAUCACGGAUUGGGUCGAGGAUGCGGUGCCGUCAUCGGUGGAAUGUUUGUCGCCAGUUACGGCACCACAGCAACCUUCCGAGCCUAUGGCCUGGUCUGCAUAGGAGUCUUGGCCGCGUUUAUAUUCAUAAACUUUUACCGAAAGGACACGGGAUUCGUCUCGGAACUACCACAGACGGAAGACCCUCACCAAGUAGCCGAAGCAACGCAUUUGGCCCCGCACGGAGUUCCCAGCAACGCAAUUCCUCGGGCUUUGAGCUCGAGUCGACUUCACGAGCUGGCUAAUCAGGAACCGGGAUACGGUGCCACUUAUCAGACGUCAGGUGGAAACCUGGAUAUUCCCGGUGGUAACGGAGGGAACACUAAUCCUACGAAUCCAUUCCUGAACGGCGGAGGAGGCGGUGGAGGUGGAGGUGGAGGUGGAGGCGGUGGUUAUAAUUACGGAGUGGCCGGCAAAGGGGAAGAUGAAUUUAUUCGUAGGAGCUUCCAGGUCGAGCAUGGAAUAUCCCGUUAAUAUCGAUAUUAGACGUUCAUUAUGUUGUUUGCCCGAUAGUGUCGAAUGAUCAAAUCUUCGCGUCUCGCAGUGUCGCGUCCAGUCAAAUACGAUCUACAGUGAAGUGGUCGGGAGGGAAUACGACUUGGCAAAAAUACCGGAGACCUAUCUCCACGCCCAACAGCCCUGCACUAAUCCGUUUCACCAGCACGACUACGAGUGGUAACCCAAUUGAUUAUACCGAUGAGACAGGACGCGUCGCAGAAUUUAACCGUCUUGGUAUUUCUCACUCGAGUCUUAUAUAUGGUAUUAUACACAUUACAUUAUUGCAAUUUACGUUUAAAGAUAAUCGAUUGGAUCGCUUGUUUGGGAAACAACAAACGAACAACAUAUCUCGCUAUUGAUAUUACGUUUAAGUAGGUACACACCUUUGCAUGGCGUGAACAGAAAAAAAAAAAAACUUGCGUAUUCCGCUGUGAAAAUUAUUAUUUAUGUAUUACGUAUCGUCAACUGGUUAACUGACGAAUUAAAUUUUCUGCCAUUCAUGUAAAAAUAAGCAGGGAUCAAAUUCACGAAUUGGGAAUGGCUUAAGGGGAUAGUAGAUACCGCGAACGGGGUAAUCAAGUUUCGAUGUAAUCGGCUACAUCGAAGGGUUUUUCUAUUUGCUCAUUUUUAAAGACGAUUCAUAAAGUCGCGUCACGAACGUUACCCCAGAUUUAUGUCUAAUGAUAUUCGGUUGUACAUGAAAAAUAUUUCGCCAUGUGAAAAAAAAAUUACUCAACUAGUAAUCGGAACGUUUAUAAUUUGGAGAGCAAAAUUUUUACCAAUAUUUGACAAGAUUACGCUUCUAAAGAAGCACCCCAGUUCCUCGGAGACGUUAUACUCUUUUUCAAAGUGUAAAAAUACGGAACCUGUAAAGAUAUCACACAAGGAUCAGCGAUUUAGUUUUCUUGUAUUCUAAUCUGUUAACUAUCGAAGUUUAUGCGUGAAGAUUUUUUCACGACAUCAUCGAGCGUAUUAAACACCUAAGAUAGUCGGAAUUAACGAUUUAUGAUUCACGUACCAUUUGUGCUAACAAAAAAAAAAAACACUUUUAAUCCAACCUACACACAUCGUGGGAUUGUAAUUUAUAUUAUAUAAAUAUAUUUAACGAUAAAUAUAACGCAGAAUGAUUUGGAAUGCCGCACUGGGAAAUUUAUACCUGCGGGUAUAUAUUAUGCUCGUGAGUGAUGAAUGUAUAAAAGUCGUACGGAAAAAAUUACAAAGAAAUUUAACCGAUCAUUUGGUUGGUAAUAGAUUCGAGACCGAAAGUUGUUCUUAAGGAUUUUCAUAUCUUAAACAUGAAUAUCACAAUUUGAAAAAACAUUAUUAUACAAAGUUUCCCAAUAUAGACGUAUCCAAUCAUUAUCGUAUGCAUAAGAUAUACAUAAGUUAUGGAUUGAAAAUCUGUAAUAACGAUAAAAACGAAGCUUAGCCAUCCGUUGAUUAAACAAGAACACAUAUUUUAUAGAAUGUAAUGAGAAGUAAAUAAAUAUAUUAAAUUAUAUUAUAUACAAGUAUGGAUGAAGAAAAAAGAAGAAAGAUAUAUAUAUAUGCAUAUAUAUAUAUACACACAUAUAUAUAUAUAUGAAAUUCAUUUACCCGAAUAUCUGCGUCACUGUUCUAUAGAUGUACGUAAGAUUCGUUUCGAACAAUUCUAUUAUAAGAAAUUUGUUAUGUCGACGUGCAAGAAUGUACAGCUUCAAAGAAUAAUACUUGACACAAAUUGAGUUAUUAUCGAUCACCAUUCUGAAAAAAAAUUCGUAGGUGAAACUAAUAUCUGACCGGUUAACCGCGAUGCAGUUAGAAACCGCAAGAUUAAUUAUUGGCACGUAACCAAAUUAUAUGCGUAUAAGUCCAUCCGUUUGGAAAUAUCAUGUAAUUUGAUGUGGUGAUCAUCGCGUGUCUCGUAUUAAUCUGAUUGAUAUAAAUUUUGACGUAUAACAUUGUUGUAAAUACUCUCGUGAAUUUCUUAGGAUAUUAUUAUUAUUAUUAUUAUUACAACGGAAUACCAGUUCAAAUUUUAUGUUGACCGCAAUUAUAUAAAUACAUGUUGUGAAUAAAACUGUAUAGAUUUUAUCCAAAAGUUAUAUACAAUUACAUUAUAUUUUACUAUCAUAUAAUAGAAGAGUUUGUCGACAUACGUGUAUUAUAUUGCCGAUAUCGUAUGAUUAGGAUAUAAAAAAUUUCCUUAUACCAGCAAAAUCGAAAUGAGUUUGUGUACGAAGAUCUGAAAUUAACUGUUUUUUCAAUUGAAACAACUUUGCAUACAAUUACGCAAUCGUGUCGUCAAAAGGUAUUAACAUUGGCAAAACGUUUGUUUCAUUGUAAUUCGAAGUACUGUAUAGAUAUACCGUUGCGGCUUUCGUUAUUUGAAAAAAGGGUUGAAAAAAAAGAAAGUUAUUAAUAAAAUAUUUAAAAGCAAGAGCAGUUUUUGCCGAAGGCAUAUAUUUUGCCGCAAGUCACAAUAUGAAUAAAAUAUUAUUCAGAAGCUAGAGGUAUAUUAAGUUUACAAAAUAAUUAGAAAGUACAUAUUAUACAGAUAAAUAUAAUGAUAUUAAAUAAUUAUAUAUGUGUGUAAGGUUGAAUAUAUGCCGCAAUGUUACGUAUAUUAUUACGGUUAAGUGCUCCUCGUCCAAACUAUGAUUUUCCUGGUAAAACGAUUAAAAUUUGCUGCUUGAAUUUUAAUUUCUAUUUUCCACUAUUUUCAUCACUUGAAAUCCAAUUAUUGCUUUUUUUCUGCGAUGUUAACAUUACUGUGCACUAUAAUUAGAGGUGCUCGAAACGUACGAUUUUAAAAUAAAAAUAUCCAACACGCAUUGGUUGAAACAUAAAUAAAACGGCGUAGAGAUGUUCAAGUGCAGAUGUAAAGAUUUUUUUAAUUAUCUUAGAUAUUACUUGUUGUCAAGUGUAAAAAUAAAAAAAAAAAAAAAACUUCUAUAUUAUGCUAAGCAUAUCUUGUUAAAGGAGAGGAAAAAAUCAACCUCCGGCAAAAACACAUACAUAUCAUUAAAAAAAAAAAAAAGUUCAAACCUAUAAAGCCUAUAAAUUUACAUGUAAGAGAUAAAAUUUACGAGAAAAAAAAAACAACAAAAAUAAUUGUCAUACUUUACAUGUUAUUAUAAGAAUGUGAAUAUCAUUUCAUUGACAUAAGUGAACCGUGCAAAAG